UACGUAGGCAGCAAGCGUUGUUCGGAGUUACUGGGCGUAAAGGGUGUGUAGGCGGUUGCUUAAGUUUGGUGUGAAAUCUCCCGGCUCAACUGGGAGGGUGCGCCAAAUACUGAGUGACUCGAGUGCGGGAGAGGAAAGUGGAAUUCCAGGUGUAGCGGUGAAAUGCGUAGAUAUCUGGAGGAACACCGGUGGUGUAGACGGCUUUCUGGACCGUAACUGACGCUGAGACACGAAAGCGUGGGUAGCAAACAGG
rnacentral:rRNA from 1 species